GAUGAAGAACGCAGCGAAAUGCGAUAAGUAAUGCGAAUUGCAGAAUUCCGUGAGUCAUCGAAUCUUUGAACGCACAUUGCGCCCUUUGGCAUUCCGAAGGGCAUGCCUGUUCGAGCGUCAUUUAUCAACCCUCAAGCCCGGCUUGCGGUUGGGUCCCGCCGUGGGCGACCACGGCGGACCCGAAAGGUAAUGGCGGUGCCCGUGGGGCCCUGGACGCAGCGAGCUUCUCGGCACGCGUCCCGGCGGUCCCCGGCGCCGUCUCCACCAAUCCACCCCGCAGAUUGACCUCGGAUCAGGUAGGGAUACCCGCUGAACUUAAGCAUAUCAAUAAGCGGAGGA
rnacentral:misc_RNA from 1 species